rnacentral:tmRNA from 1 species
GGGAGUGUACCGGUUUCGACAGAUAAGAGUAAUCUUGUGCUGCAGGUGAGGUUACGUUUGACCUCUGAUCAGACGGAAAAAAUAACUGACGAUUCUUACACAGAAGACGAGCAGUUUGCUCUCGCUGCCUAAGCAGCGAAACACGGAACUUAUGUUGCGCUGUUCCUAGCGGCAUGAUGUUCUGUUACAAAUAGGGACUUGCUCUGCAUCUCGUUCGGGUUUUGCAGGGGACUCUUACCGAAAUACGGAGACGACGCCUUUGGGGCCGCUACCGUCUCCCGACAAUCACCUCGCUCCAAUAAACCUGUAGAGGUGCCUGGUUAACUUACUUGGACGCGGGUUCGAUUCCCGCCACUUCCA